GCGUGUGCCAGCAGCAGGAGGUCGGCGUUGUCGAAGAGGGCGGCGUGGGGACCCUCGGCCAGCGCCAGGUACGCGCCCCCCAGCGCCGCCCCCAGCAGCAGCUUCCCCGCGCUGCUCAGCUGCAGGAAGGCGGCGGCGGCCAGCAGGCUGAGCACCACGCUGAGCGUCACGUACUGCGGGCACGGGGGGGGGAAAGGGGGGGGACACGGCGCCGUGAGGACCCACACCGAUGGGGACCCCACGGCAGCGCCCUAUGGGCCUGGGGACAUCGCCCCUGCGGGGACCCCGUGGCAGCACCCAGAGGAAGCCAGCCCCCUGGGGACCCCAUGGCAGCACCCAUGGGAACCUGACCUCCCUGGGGACCCCAUGGCAGCGCCCUAUGGGCCUGGGGACAUUGCACCUUUCAGGACCCCAUGGCAGCACCCAUAGGAACCUCAUCUCCCUUGGGACCCCAUGGCAGUGCCCUAUGGGCCUGGGGACAUCGCCUCUGCAGGCAUCCCAUGGCAGCACCUAUAGGAACCCAGCCCCUUUGGGGACCCCAUGGCAGCACCCAUAGGAACCUGACCUCCCUGGGGACCCCACGGCAGCGCCCUAUGGGCCUGGUGACAUUGCACCUUUCAGGACCUUAUGGCAGCCCCUAUGGGAACUCAGCCCCUUUGGGGACCCCAUGGCAGCACCCAUAGGAACCUCAUCUCCCUGGGGACCCCAUGGCAGCGCCCUAUGGGAACCCAGCCCCUUUGGGGACCCCAUGGCAGCACCUCUAGAGACACUGCACCCACUGGGACCCCAUGGCAGCACCCUAUGGGAACCCAGCCUCUUUGGGGACCCCAUGGCAGCACCUAUAGGAACCUGACCUCCCUGGGGACCCCAUGGCAGCGCCCUAUGGGAACCCAGCCCCCCAGGGACCCCAUGGCAGCACCCAUGGGAACCUCAUCUCCCUGGGGACCCCACGGCAGCGCCCUAUGGCCCUGGGGACGCUGCACCUUUCAGGACCCUACAGCAUCCCCUUU
rnacentral:lncRNA from 1 species